UCUUCAGCAGGCCGCGGUAAUACGGAGGGUGCAAGCGUUUAUCGGAAUUACUGGGCGUAAAGCGCACGCAGGCGGUCUGUCAAGUCGGAUGUGAAAUCCCCGGGCUCAACCUGGGAACUGCAUUCGAAACUGGCAGGCUGGAGUCUUGUAGAGGGGGGUAGAAUUCCAGGUGUAGCGGUGAAAUGCGUAGAGAUCUGGAGGAAUACCGGUGGCGAAGGCGGCCCCCUGGACAAAGACUGACGUUCAGGUGCGAAAGCGUGGGGAGCAAACAGGAUUAGAUACCCUGGUAGUCCACCCUGUAAACGAUGUCGACUUGGAGGUUGUUCCCUUGAGGAGUGGCUUCCGGAGCUAACGCGUAAUCGACCGCUUGGAU
rnacentral:rRNA from 1 species